CAGUCGCCGCGGGAAUACGUAGGUGGCAAGCGUUGUCCGGAAUUAUUGGGCGUAAAGGGCUCGCAGGCGGUUUCUUAAGUCUGAUGUGAAAGCCCCCGGCUCAACCGGGGAGGGUCAUUGGAAACUGGGAAACUUGAGUGCAGAAGAGGAGAGUGGAAUUCCACGUGUAGCGGUGAAAUGCGUAGAGAUGUGGAGGAACACCAGUGGCGAAGGCGACUCUCUGGUCUGUAACUGACGCUGGGGAGCGAAAGCGUGGGGAGCGAACAGGAUUAGAGACCCCUGUAGUCCCUGUCUCUUAUAC
rnacentral:rRNA from 1 species